UUAAUUUAAUAAUUACUAAAACCAGUAGUUCGAAAGAUAUAUUUAAAAAUAAAAGAUAAAAAUCCAAAAAAUUAAUCAUCUAUUAACGUGGAUUUGGACGACAAUAGGUUUUUAGUUUGUGAUGUUUCAUGUGAUGAUCAUUUUCAUGUUCAUCGUCUUUGAAUUGACAUGAGGAUAUCUAUGGAAAAGUAACUAAUCUGAAAGUAAGCCAACAUAUCGUUUGUCCUUUGUGUGCUAAAGAAAAGAUUUUCUUUUCGCAUCAUGAGGAAGUAUUACAUCAAUUAAAAAAUGUUAGGAAGUUGAUUACUUGUCAUGGAAAAGUAUACCAAUGGAAAUUAUUUGUUAAAGAAGUAUAAUUCUAAGGGUUUUAAGAAUAAAUUGGUUGAACCCAAAAUCUGGAGGAAGUACCUAUAUCCAUACACAGAAUAUGCCCAUUAAAAAUACUAGUCCAAAUUUGCUUUAAUGGUAGACAAUUAUUCAAUACAAAUUAACUUUUUAAGUGACUGAAAUAUUAAAUAGUUUAGAAUAUGGUAUAACAAUGUAAAAAAAUAUUAUUUUCAGGAACGAUUAGGGCCCGAUAUAUUUGAAACUCAUGUUGGACAUAGUAUUGAGUUGGGUAGAAUAUUAUUCUACGUUAAGUGAGGGUAUCAGAUACCUAUUAUUGUACUGUAUUUUAAUAUAUACAUUAGAAUUGUUGGUUUUUU
rnacentral:lncRNA from 1 species